rnacentral:rRNA from 1 species
AAUAGAUACCCGGGUAGUCCACGCCCUAAACGAUGUCUACUAGUUGUCGGGUCUUAAUUGACUUGGUAACGCAGCUAACGCGUGAAGUAGACCGCCUGGGGAGUACGGUCGCAAGAUUAAAACUCAAAGGAAUUGACGGGGACCCGCACAAGCGGUGGAUGAUGUGGAUUAAUUCGAUGCAACGCGAAAAACCUUACCUACCCUUGACAUGGUCGGAAUCCUGGAGAGAUCUGGGAGUGCUCGAAAGAGAGCCGAUACACAGGUGCUGCAUGGCUGUCGUCAGCUCGUGUCGUGAGAUGUUGGGUUAAGUCCCGCAACGAGCGCAACCCUUGUCAUUAGUUGCUACGAAAGGGCACUCUAAAUGAGACUGCCGGUGACAAACCGGAGGAAGGUGGGGAUGACGUCAAGUCCUCAUGGCCCUUAUGGGUAGGGCUUCACACGUCAUACAAUGGUGCAUACAGAGGGCUGCCAACCCGCGAGGGGGAGCUAAUCCCAGAAAGUGCAUCGUAGUCCGGAUUGUAGU